AAGUGAGGCUGAUGAGGGCUUAUAUCUAGCAAAUGUGUAUAGAAAAAAUACUUUUAGACUCCUCCCCAGAAAGAAACCCUACUGAAUUCUAGAGAUGAAAUCCAGAAGCUUUAUUCCUUGAAUAAUCUGAGACUGCCUAUAAUCUCCAUGUCAAACAUCAGCACUGAAACCAUCUAAACCCUUGUUGAAUAGAUAGAAAUUACUUAGGUUCAUCUCAGAGAGCUACACAGUCUUUGCUCUGUGGGAUAUUCCCAAAGUUUUAAGGCCAUCGUAUAUUAUCUGGGCAUUUAGAAUUAAUUCAAUUUUUUUUCUUUCACCGUUUCCCUAUUUCUAGAUUAUAGGACCCCAAGCCUAAGAUACAUUUAUGAGAAGUUUUUCACACUACUACAGUCUCCCUCUUUCUCUUGUGUGCACCAUGUUGUGCCUGUUUCUGUUGUUUUUGACAUGUGCUUAAUCAACCAUCAGAGUAAUUCUCCACUGACUCUCUCCAGCCACUGGACUACAAAGAUGGCAUGACCAUUUAUAUAUAGAAGAUCUGGAAGAAUCAACAUUAAAAAAAAGUCCUGGAACUAAUAUUAUAGCACUAUUGCACAAUACAAGGUU
rnacentral:lncRNA from 10 species